CAAAGGGGGCGACCCCGGUCAUGGAUGGGCAUGCGGCGCAUUAGGUAGUUGGUGGGGCAACGGCCCACCAAGCCGACGAUGCGUAGGGGUUCUGAGAGGAAGGUCCCCCACAUUGGAACUGAGACACGGUCCAAACUCCUACGGGAGGCAGCAGUGAGGAAUAUUGGUCAAUGGCCGGAAGGCUGAACCAGCCAAGUCGCGUGAGGGAAUAAGGCCCUACGGGUCGUAAACCUCUUUUGCCAGGGAGCAAUGCCGUCCACGUGUGGACGGAAGGAGAGUACCUGGAGAAAAAGCAUCGGCUAACUCCGUGCCAGCAGCCGCGGUAAUACGGAGGAUGCGAGCGUUAUCCGGAUUUAUUGGGUUUAAAGGGUGCGUAGGCGGCCUGCCAAGUCAGCGGUAAAAUUGCGGGGCUCAACCCCGUACAGCCGUUGAAACUGCCGGGCUCGAGUGGGCGAGAAGUAUGCGGAAUGCGUGGUGUAGCGGUGAAAUGCAUAGAUAUCACGCAGAACCCCGAUUGCGAAGGCAGCAUACCGGCGCCCGACUGACGCUGAGGCACGAAAGUGCGGGGAUCAAACAGGAUUAGAUACCCUGGUAGUCCGCACAGUAAACGAUGAAUGCUAGCUGUCCGGGGGGAUUGACCCCUGG
rnacentral:rRNA from 1 species